rnacentral:tRNA from 1 species
GCCCUGAUGGUCUAGCGGUAUGAUUCUCCCUUAGGGUGCUGACAGCAUCUCAGCUUGGGAGAGGUCCCAGGUUCGAUCCCUGGUUAGGGCC